AGUGACUGUUCACGUUUCGACGGUAUCUAACCAGAAAGCCACGGCUAACUACGUGCCAGCAGCCGCGGUAAUACGUAGGUGGCAAGCGUUAUCCGGAAUUACUGGGCGUAAAGGGUGCGUAGGUGGUUUCUUAAGUCAGAGGUGAAAGGCUACGGCUCAACCGUAGUAAGCCUUUGAAACUGGGGAACUUGAGUGCAGGAGAGGAGAGUGGAAUUCCUAGUGUAGCGGUGAAAUGCGUAGAUAUUAGGAGGAACACCAGUUGCGAAGGCGGCUCUCUGGACUGUAACUGACACUGAGGCACGAAAGCGUGGGGAGC
rnacentral:rRNA from 1 species